rnacentral:tRNA from 1 species
GGGUCGUUAGCUCAGUCGGUAGAGCAUCGCACUUUUAAUGCGGUUGUCAUUGGUUCGAAUCCAAUACGACCCA